ACACGAAAUGAGUCCACAGCGCAGAGCAGGCAGCCCCUCUGGAACCUGAGAUUAUUUGUUCCCUCACUAUUCUAAAGGGAAAGAUUUGAAGACCCACCCAAUGAUGCCCUCCUGGCCCUGAAACUUCUUGUCAAAUGAACAAAGAAAUGCACUGAAAACGUUAUUCACAGACAACUAAACUGAAAGCAUAAUUCUCAUAAGGAAUUGGAACAGAUGAGGAAGCAGAGGCUUAUAGAGCUAAGGCCCUUGGGGUUGCAGAGAGAGGCUGUGCUGGAGUCUGCCUCCACCUGUGAGGGUCCAAGGAAACAGCAGCAGGGAUGUCAUCCUCCUUUCCUGAUGCCCACGGAGUGGGAGGGAGGAUGAAGCCUUCAUUCUGUGGGGCUGCCAAGCUACACCCUCAUCCAGUGCUGCAGGAACAAGGGAGCAAGCGGGGCACACGCAGAUGAAGGGAUGGUGCUUGUUUUUCCCUCUGAACCCCCCACCCCACCGGCCUCCCCAAUGACAUUCUGAUCUUUGCCACCUUCCGUCUCCUGCAUCAGUAAUGCCCAAGCCUCUAGCCCCAUAGUGGUUUCUGUUUCCCUGAUCCAGCACUUUUUCCUCAGUGCAUUAUUUUCCC
rnacentral:lncRNA from 1 species